GAGCUGCACUGGCCCAGAUAAAAGGAGCUGCAGGGCCCAGGCCACUCAGUCCCUGGCUGGGGGAACCAGAGGGGUGGAUCUAGGAGCUACUCUCUGGCCACAGGCACUCGAGGGAAAGGGCUCAUUUUGACGGUGUGACCCAGUUCGAGGACCGAGCCAGUGAAGAUCUGCCAAGUGAGGUCAACAACCUACAGGGGGCGCCAGGAGUGGGAAAAGGACUGCAGUACCGCACAGCAGCAGCAGGAGGCGCUCAAGAGUGCCUAGCGGCCUUCACCGAAAUUCCUAUUCAUCGGUUUUAAGGCCAGAAGGGACUAUUUUGAUUAUUUAGUCUGACCUCCUGCGUAACACAAGCCAGAGACUCUCACCCAUUGGGCCCCCAUUGUGCCAGGACAGACUAAGAGAAAGGCCCGGAAGAGCGUGCAAGCUAAAGAGACGAGGUAGGCAAAGAGCGGAAGAAUUAUUAUCCCCGGUUUAGAGAUGGGGGACUGCA